rnacentral:rRNA from 1 species
GUGAGGAAUAUUGGACAAUGGCCGGAAGGCUGAUCCAGCCAUGCCGCGUGAAGGAUAAGGUCCUAUGGAUUGUAAACUUCUUUUGAGUGGGAGCAAUAAGGAUGUCGUGACAUCCGAUGAGAGUACCAUUCGAAUAAGCAUCGGCUAACUCCGUGCCAGCAGCCGCGGUAAUACGGAGGAUGCGAGCGUUAUCCGGAUUUAUUGGGUUUAAAGGGUGCGUAGGCGGUUUGUCAAGUCAGCGGUGAAACGCAAGGGCUCAACCCUUGACCUGCCGUUGAAACUGUCGGACUAGAAUGCGGAUGCUGUGGGAGGAAUGUGUGGUGUAGCGGUGAAAUGCAUAGAUAUCACACAGAACACCGAUUGCGAAGGCAUCUCACAAAUCCGUGAUUGACGCUGAGGCACGAAAGUGUGGGGAUCAAACAGG